CUGAAUCUGUGGCCACAUGAAGCCAGCUGGAGGACUCCCCAAGGCCCCUCUCCAGGAUGUGUGGCAGGUCCUCCUGAACCAACACUGUGUCUUCUGGUGGCCACAUUGAGGCCAGGCCACAUCAGCCAGUGCCCGUCAUUUAAUCCUCCCAGCGAGCUCAAAUGGGGCUCACAACCCCAUGUUACAGUGGAGAAAACUGAAGCUCAGAGCCACAAAAGUCACCCACGCUUUCUCAGGUGAGCCAUCCAAGAGGGACAGAGAGUGGGGACAUGACAUCAUUCCCUACCAUCCUUCCAGCAGGGACCCGUGGUGUCUGAGCUGGUGUGGGUUCAUUUUUGAUCAUGUGACACACAACAGUUGUCAUGCUGCCCCUUCUAUGGACCAAGAACCUGUGGCUCAGAGAGGUAUUGUAAAUGAUCAAGACACAGCCUCGAUUGCUGAAGGCGCAAAGUCAUGGCCCCUCCAAGGUCAUUCAAGUUUCUACAACUGCAGCAACCCCUCUGCAUGGUGGGCCAGAGCCAGGUGCCAAGGACAAUGCCAGAGAAAGGAAGACAUGACACAGUCCUUACCCUCCAGGUCCUUGGAGGUGGGAGGCCCAACUCGGACAUUCACUUUUUUUCAGCCCAGCUACAGAUUUAAGAUGCUAGAGACAGAG
rnacentral:lncRNA from 1 species